rnacentral:rRNA from 1 species
AGCAGCCGCGGUAAUUCCAGCUCCAAUAGCGUAUAUUAAAGUUGUUGCAGUUAAAAAGCUCGUAGUUGAAUUUCGGGAUCAGUGGGUCGGUCGUGCCAAUGGUAUGUACUGGCCCUACUGGUUCCUCCUUCUUGAAGAACUGUAAUGCCAUUAAUUUGGUGUUGCAGGGAAACAGGACUGUUACUUUGAAAAAAUUAGAGUGUUUAAAGCAGGCAAUCGCUUGAAUACAUUAGCAUGGAAUAAUGAAAUAGGACGUUCGAUCCUAUUUUGUUGGUUUCUAGGAUUGACGUAAUGAUUAAUAGGGAUAGUUGGGGGCAUUAGUAUUCAAUUGUCAGAGGUGAAAUUCUUGGAUUUAUUGAAGACUAACUACUGCGAAAGCAUUUGCCAAGGAUGUUUUCAUUAAUCAAGAACGAAAGUUAGGGGAUCGAAGACGAUCAGAUACCGUCGUAGUCUUAACCAUAAACUAUGCCGACUAGGGAUCGGAUGAUGUUAAUUUUUUAAUGACUCA